rnacentral:rRNA from 1 species
CGCGGCCUAUCAGCUUGUUGGUGGGGUAACGGCCUACCAAGGCUACGACGGGUAGCUGGUCUGAGAGGACGAUCAGCCCGACUGGGACUGAGACACGGCCCAGACUCCUACGGGAGGCAGCAGUUAGGAAUCUUGCACAACGGGCGAAAGCCUGAUGCAGCGACGCCGCAUGGAGGAUGACGUCUUUCGGGAUGUAAACUCCUUUUGUUGGGAAAGAACUAAGACGGUACCCAACGAAUAAGCCCCGGCUAACUACGUGCCAGCAGCCGCGGUAAGACGUGGGGGGCGAGCGUUGUCCGGAAUUACUGGGCGUAAAGCGCGCGUAGGCGGCUGGUUAAGUCAGGUGUGAAAUCUCCAGGGCUCAACCCGGAAACUGCAUUUGAUACUGGCCGGCUAGAGAGAUGAAGGGGCAGAUGGAAUUCCUGGUGUAGCGGUGAAAUGCAUUGAUAUCAGGAGGAACACCCGUGGCGAAGGCGGUCUGCUGGGCAUCUUCUGACGCUGAGGCGCGAAAGCAGGGGGAGCAAACGGGAUUAGAUACCCCGGUAGUCCCUGCCGUAAACGAUGGAUGCUAGGUGUGAGCGGUAUCAAUCCCGUUCGUGCCGUCGCUAACGCAUUAAGCACCCCGCCUGGGGAGUACGG